CUUAGGUAUCGGAGGGUUAACUGUCCAGGGGACCAGGUAGAUUAUAGGGUAGGUAGGUCUAACAUGUCAACCAAUCACAUAUGCCAUGUGUAAAUACGCUAUGGCUCAACUGCCCACGUGUUGCUCUGUUGAGAAUGCCACUGGGUGUGUAAGCAAGUUCGCUAAGCCCAGUUGGUCCACAGCCCACAUUCUAGGUUGCAAUAUAACAGUAGUAGUUAGGGUAAUCUGUGUUAAGACAAUU